CGGCCUGUGCCCGUCCCGCCCCUUUCCGCAGGCGCAGUGAGUGUCGCCCAGCCCCGCCCCGCCCCCUUCCGCAGGCGCAGUAGGACCCGGCCCUGUCUGCCUGCUCUGCGGCUCUGAGGCCUCCGCGCGGGGCACGAGGCAUUAAAAGCAUUAUCUGAAUCUUAAAGAAAAGUCCAAGAUCUGAUGGCUUCCUGGUGAAUUCUACCAAACGUAAAGAAGAACUAAUACCAGCCCUUCUCAAACAUUUCCAAAAGACUGAAGAGAAGGGAACACUUCUUAACUCAUCCUGUAAGGCCAGUAUUACCCUGUUUCUAAA